rnacentral:rRNA from 1 species
GGUUCGAUUAUGCAAUUAGAUUUGAACGCUGGUGAGUGCGCUACUAUGUUUGAACGGCAGCACGGACUUCGGUCUGGUGGCGAGUGGCGAACGGGUGAGUAAUGUAUCGGAACGUGCCUAGUAGCGGGGGAUAACUACGCGAAAGCGUAGCUAAUACCGCAUACGCCUUGGGAAAGCGGGGGGACCUUCGGGCCUCGCACUAUUAGAGCGCCGGAUAUCGGAUUAGCUAGUUGGUGGGGUAACGGCUCACCAAGGCGACGAUCCGUGGCUGGUUUGAGAGGACGACCAGCCACACUGGGACUUAGAUUACGCUCAGAUCUACGGAGGCAGCAGUGGGGAAUUUUGGACAAUGGGGAAACCCUGAUCCAGCCAUCCCGCGUGUGCGAUGAAGGCCUUCGGGUUGUAAAGCACUUUUGGCAGGGAAAGAAACGGCACGGGAUAAUACCCGUGCAAUCCGGAUGGCACCGCAGAAUAAGCACCGGCUAACUACGCGCCAGCAGCCGCGGUAAUACGUAGGGUGCAAGCGUUAAUCGGAAUUCCUACUGGGCGCAAAGGUGCGCAGGCGGUUCGAAAGAAAGAUGUGAAAUCCCAGAGCUUAACUUUGGAACUGCAUUUUUAACUACCGAGCUAGAGGCCAGAUAGAGGUGGAAUCGCGCAGCAGCAGCGUGCAGGUAUUAUGCGGAGGAAACACUGAUGGCGAAGCGGCAGCCCUGGGAUAACACUGACGCUCAUGCAAUGAAAGUGGGAGCAAAAUGCAGGAUUAGAUUCUUCUGUAGUUCCACAGCCUCAAACGAGUGUCAUUAACUGAAGUGAAAGUCGGGGCCUUCGGGCCUUUGGUAUGGUAGCAGCGACCAUGGUUGACCGCCUGGGGAGUACGGUCGCAAGAUUAAAACCAGAAAGGAAUUGACGACCCGCGUGAAGCGGUGACGAUGUGGAUUAACUGAUGCAACCAGCAACCCAUCUGCACUGACAUGUCUGGAAUCCCGAAGAGAUUGUAUGUGCCUGUAAGAGAACCGGAACACAGGUGCUGCAUGGCUGUCGUCAGCUCGUGUCGUGAGAUGUUGGGUUAAGUCCCGCAACGAGCGCAACCCUUGUCAUUAGUUGCUACGAAAGGGCACUUAAUGAGAUCGCUGGUGACAAACCAGAUAGCGUGGAAGGACGUCAUCCCAGCACCAGUGGUAGGGCUUCACACGUCAUACAAUGGUCGGGACAGAGGGUCGCCAACCCGCGAGGGGAGCCAAUCCCAGAAACCCGAUCGUAGUCCGGAUCGCAGUUCGCAACUCGACUGCGUGAAGUCGGAAUCGCUAGGUAAUCGUGAUCAGCAUGUCGCGGUGAAUACGUUCCCGGGUCUUGUACACACCGCCCGUCACACCAUGGGAGUGGGUUUUACCAGAAGAAGUUAGUCAACCGUAAGGAGGGCGAUUACCACGGUAGGAUUCAUGACUGGGGUGAAGUCGUAACAAGGUAGCC